UACGGAGGGUGCAAGCGUUAUCCGGAUUCACUGGGUUUAAAGGGUGCGUAGGUGGGUUGGUAAGUCAGUGGUGAAAUCUCCAGGCUUAACUUGGAAACUGCCAUUGAUACUAUCAAUCUUGAAUACCGUGGAGGUCAGCGGAAUAUGUCAUGUAGCGGUGAAAUGCUUAGAUAUGACAUAGAACACCAAUUGCGAAGGCAGCUGGCUACACGAAUAUUGACACUGAUGCACGAAAGCGUGGGGAUCAAACAGGAAUUAGAUACCCGUGGUAAG
rnacentral:rRNA from 1 species